GCUUCGUUUCAUGAGAACAGUUGAUAGAGCCUGAGACUCUGAAUCUCAGGGUUGUGGGUUCGAACCCCACGUUGGGCA